GCCGAUAGUGCAGGCAGCCGGCAGGCUUAUGGGACAUGAUCCACCCUGUUGCCCUAGGGACCCCUGGUGUUGUGGGUUCGGCCGCGUGAUGGCCAAUGGAACUGAAUCCUCCACCAAGCCUUGAUAUGUGGUUUAAUUCUCCUCCAAGCUAUAAGCUAUGUCCUACAAAAUGUGCUUCAACGGUGGUUGUGUUUUCUUAUAUGUAAUUUGUGUUGCUAGUUUCAAGAAAUGAUAUGUAUAAGCUAUGUUGCUAAUAAAAGUGGGAGGAGAUUGCUAUCUAUCUUGCUUACAAUGUGCCACAAAGAGAUUCAAAAGUGUUUGCCGUAGUAUUUUUAGAGGAUCAUAUCAUCCUCUAUUUUAAUGGUUAAGGACAUGCUACGGUCAUAAAGGAACCAUCGGUAGUUGAUUUCAAUUUAUUACUAAACAUAAAAGUUUAGCCAUCACAUAGAGUAGCAAUUUGUUGCAGACAUGGACCAAAUACCAUAUUAAUUCAUUUAUGCCAUUGCAUCUCAGCAUAACUGAUGCAGAACCACGGAGCUAGUGUUAUUCGCACAAGGUUUCUUUUGGCAGUCCGACGCUGAUGUAUUUGCUGGACCGUGUCAAAAAAUCGUUCAAGAGUCGACAUAUAGAUUAUGCCCCCUGCAUCAUACCUUCGUUUGAUGCCCCUGAUUAAAUCAUACACUAAUUAUACACGCAAAUGUGUACGAUUAAGAUCAGAGACUCACGGGAAGAUAUCACAACACAACACUAGACACAAAUUUAAAAUAAUACAAGUUUUAUAUUACAAGCCAGGGGCCUCGAGGGCUCGAAUACAAGCUCGAUACACGAGCAACUUAACCCCAUGCAUGUCCCUCGGCCCCCGCCAAAGAAAUCUUACUCAACCGAGCUUGUAAAACUACAAAGAGAGUCGAGCAACUUGCUAAUCUAUGGGAACACGCCGUCUGGCCGAUUGUUUCAUGGCAAUGAGAGGGGGGUGGAACUUCACUCAUGUGUCACCAUUCAAAGGAUCUCAUCAGCGCCAGUUCCAUCAGGCCGUCCUCCUGACACGAGUGAGACACCUUGGGGUGAUGAGAACGAGUAGAGCAUGCAAAUCAGACGUUGGAGAAAAUGCUCAGGUCAGGCACGUUCGUCGUGUGCCAAACCUUGGACAGGGGCGUGUCCUGGUGGUGUGCUUGUUGAAGUUCCUGGUCGAGCUCUGGUUUACUUUCUCGUUCAUGGUCUUCGGUGUUGUUUGAGCUUAGGUGCGGUGUGGUACGUAGGAGGUUCCGGGUGUGCCUCGAUUCACUAUUUUGGGCAGUAUGACGUACCGUAAAAAUCUCCUGAGAUUAGGCUUCCAUUGCCAGAGGAUCAGCUCAGCAGCAUGCUCAUACCAUCUCGCCUGUGCUAGAAUCAAUCUCCCUGCAUGGUCAUGGACAGGGAGCCCUCCUUGUCCAGCCUGCUCCGUAAGCUCCUAUCCACCGUUGAUUUUGAGCACACCCACAUCUAAUAGGCCAGGAACUCGAAUGUAGGGCUGGAACUUUAGUCGUUGUUCAGUCUUUAGCUACUCCCAAAACAACUUUGCCCAGGUGCACUCGAAGAAGGCAUAUAUGUGCCAUAGCUUCCUCUACUCCUCAUGGUUCGUAGAACGCAGGCCGCUCGAUGUGUCUAUCUCGUAGGAUCGCCCGGCAUGGAACAAAUUUGUGGAUCACCCUCAACGAGAAGUUACAUACUUUCGGUGGCACCGCUAGCUUGCAGAGCCUUCUCUCCAGCACUUGUUCACCCUCUCCCCUGAAGCUCGAGGCCCUACCAUUAUCCACACUUCUUGGCACCAAUGCUCUGUAAGCAGAUCGUACGGUGCAUUUUCCAAAAUUUCUUGAGAUUCGAAGCCCAACUGUCCUCGGCAAAAUUCUCGACUGGCAUCUGAUCUGCAUAUAGCCUCCACGUCAGGUGCAACAAAAUUCGCCUCAAUCACCUCCAUGUUCAAGUGCUCCGAGUCAUGAUCAAUAAGUUCGUGCACAGCUUAAAAUCCUCCCAAACUCUGAUUGAAGCUCCAUCGCCCACGUAUGCGACGAGCUCGUUUCUUGGUGGUUUGUCUGUAGUAUGUGGAGGUGGCAAGCCAUGUCCUGGAGACCGUAGACCACAUCCGGACGACGACGUCUUGAUUGACGUCUUGCGACGCAAAGCUGUGCCAGUCUGGUCGCGACCAAAUCAUGGACACCGAGGCCUGUGGCAAUCCCCGCGACACGGAGACCCACAUAGGCGGCAGCCACAUCCUCAAGGUGGAGAGAGACCUAUCACCUAUGAUGAUUCGGAGGAAACCUCUCACCAUGCUAUGCCACCCACGACAACCACAUCCCUAAUUCGAUGUGUUAAUAGUUCAUGUUGGAUGGCCUCUCUGAAUCGGGCUUGUCGAUGGCAAUUCUUCUUCUUUGGUGUGCAGGUGCCCAGAGUGUAGCUUUUGAAUGUGAAUCUAAUGGCAUUGGUGAAUAAACACUGUAAGCUGGUGGUGAAUAAAAAUUUCAGAAGGACAUGAGUUUAGUUUUUGCGUUGUUGUCUAAUAUAUUUGGUCAGACUGUUAUGAUUUCUAAUUUGAGGUGUUGCUUGGCUGAUAGAUGCUGUAAUUUUGUUUCAGAAGCAAAAUAUAACUGAUCGGGUAAAGGGGGAAGACCAUCACAAAUCAGCAUAAUUUCAGAGAAAAAAAAAGAAUCCACUUUCCUUGUUUGUUUUAUCACAUCUGGCACUCCCUCUGUUCACAAAUAUGUUCUGUGUAUUUCAAUAUGAACUACAAUAAUACAAUGAACUUCACUGCACAUAAAGGAUAGCACCAUAUAAUGAGAACAGAUUCGGAUUACAAUACCCAGAUAACAUGUCACUUCUUUAGUGAUCUAAACGAUCAGCGGGAGUAGUAGUUUUACACUCUACAUUGGGGUGAAUUUCUUUAAGAGAACACCUUUUAUUGGCCAAAGGUCUAGAAACUGAAUUUUCUUUAAGAGAAAUGCACCCUGUUGAAACAAGUCAGGCUACAAGAAGUGCAGUUCCUUCACAUUCAGCCAAUAAAAAGUGUACCGAUAAGAAUUUUACUCUGAUAACACACACUAUAUAGGCUUCAAACAUUGUGCUAGAUAAGAUAACUAGCUACUAACUCCAAGGAUAUCAGCAAACAUCUCUUUCCAUCCAUCCCAAUCCAGAUACAUCCAAGUGGCAAGCAUUGUAGGCAGUCCAUAUACCAGGCAAUUAUUGAAUCUUUCUCUUGCACGACAGAAGCGCCUAAAGAGGAGAUUACCAAAAAUAUUAUACAUCAAUUUAGAUAAAUUAGGGAGAGCAGAUAAAUCUGCAUAUGUAAUUUUGUGGAUCAUACCAGAGGGCAUCACUGGGAUUGGGCUCAAUGUGUCCGAAGAGAUGGUGGAUAAGCUCCCUGUUCUCUCGGAAGUACUUGUUACGCGAGGGGAAUCUGCUAUCAAGCUCAGCGAGCUGGUAGAAGAGGUCGCGCUUCUUGGUCUCGACUUCAAUUAUCUGACGACGGCCCCAUGCUCUCUUGGCGUCGAGGUCUAGCGCAGGUUUUGCAUUUGGUUGCUGUCAACGGAAGAUGAAGGUUAUAGACAUCGAUUGAGCUAUACUACUCCCUCCGACUUCAGAAAGAAGGCAUGCCAUUUUGUCUGAAGCAAACAGUGCACAGUUUGACCAGAUUUGCAGGAAAAUUUGUCAACAACUACAAUACUAAAUAAAGAUAAUAUGAAAAAAAAAUCAUUGUGUCUGCCAAUUUUUUUGGUUAAUCUGUUAUGUUUGGGGCCAAUCACUGGGAGAUUUGACCAAUUAGCAAGGCAGUAAGCAAGGGUUGUUACAUCCAGCAUGGAGUGGGUAAUUUGCAGAGUCACUAGAACAAUAAAUCAACCACCAGUCUAGUUAAUUAAUUAGAACUCGACGGGGGAGAUUUGACCAAUUAGCAAGGCAGUAAGCAAGGGUUGUUAGAUCCAGGAUGGAGUGGGUAAUUUGCACAGUUACUAGAACAACAAGUCAACCACUAAUCUAGUUAAUUAGAACUCGACGGGGAGAAAAUAUUGGGUUGUAUCGACCAUACAUGCAGGGUGCUGUUGCCAACAUCAGCGCCGCCGGCGGAGGCAGACAAAGGCCGGAAACGAAAAGGGAUAGGCUGACGGCCACCGUAGAUGAGCCUUGGCAUCAGCCGGCGACACUCAACCUCGACCAGCGGCGAGACGGCGGGCUUGUAAACCGCCUUGCCGCCGCUGAGCCUUCUGGCCGCGUGUCGAAUCGCCGCCGCCAUCGCCUUGUCUGCUGCCUGCGUUUCUUGCCGAUCUAGGGUUCGGUUCCUUUUUUUUUGUUUUGAGAUAAGUUGGAUUCCUCCUCUGCUUUUUUUUUUUGAGACAAGGGUUCCUCCUCUGCUUUUUUGAGGGUUCCGGACCGAACUGCCAGUACUCCCAACCCCACAGCCCAUUCUGUUGGUUGGUAAGUACGGCCCUGCUGGAGAUUUUUUUUUUGCUUCAACCAAAAAACGAGGUUUCAUUUAGCAACCCACGGCGAAUCUAUUCCCCCGCACAAGACAUCUACAUCUGGACUUAGCAAAUCCGGCCCUCUAAAUAUUCACGGAAGUGCCAGUUUGGACUUGUCUGUUUUAAGCCCCUAUUUGUCUGUCCAUGUAGCUAUACCUAUACACCUCUUUUUUUUUCUUAUAUAUGUCCGGUCACUCAUGUGAUUGAUGGAGAUGAAGAGGAGAGAAAAAAAAGUAAGAACAAAGAAAGAGAAAAGGUAGUCUAGGAUGGGUUAUGUCCUACGUAGCGGACUGACAUAGCGCUUAGUGGGCCCUCAUAUUCUCCUCGGAUUUGGUAUCAAUAUGGGGUUUCCGGAUAGUCCAGACGUAUACAGAUGAUGUGAGAAGCCUAAUUAAGUAAAAAAAAAAUCCAUCUCUCUCAUAUCUGGCCACUACCGAGCGCGUCUGCGGAUGUUUGAGGAGGCCGGCUGUAGAUGCUCGUGGCCACUAGUUUUAGGAAGGUUCUAAACCUUCCUUGAAUUUGGUUUUUCUUUUAUUUAUUCCAUUCAUCUUCUUUUUCCAUUUUUUAUUUUGUGAAUUUUUUGUAAUUCAGAUUUUUUUAAAAUGUGCCAACAAUUCUCAAAUUUGUGAAUAUUAAUUUCAUUUUGGAAUAUUUUUUGAAAUCAGAGAAGUUUCCCAAAUUCAUGAAUAUUUUUUGAAACUUGGGAACAUAUUCAGAUUUUUUGAAAUAUUUUCAAAAUCUGUGACCAUUUUUCAAUUCAUAUUUUUUGUGAAUCUGUAACUUUUUUAAAAUACGGGAACAUUUUUCAACUUGGGAACAAUUUUUGAAAUGUGGGCCCUCCUAUUCUCCUCGGAUUUGAUAUCAAUAUGGGGUUUCCGGACAGCCCAGACGUAUAUAGAUGAUAUGAGGAGUCUAAUUAAGUAAAAAAAUUCUAUCUCUCUCAUAUCUGGCCACUACCGAGCGCAUCUACGGAUGUUUGAGGAGGCCGGCUGUAGAUGCUCGUGGCCACUGGUUUUAGGAAGGUUCUGAACCUUCCUUGAAUUUGGUUUUUCUUUUAUUUAUUCCAUUCAUCUUCUUUUUCCAUUUUUUAUUUUGUGAAUUUUUUGUAAUUCAGACUUUUUUUAAAAUGUGCCAACAAUUCUCAAAUUUGUGAAUAUUAAUUUCAUUUUGGAAUAUUUUUUGAAAUCAGAGAAGUUUUCCAAAUUCAUGAAUAUUUUUUGAAACUUGGGAACAUAUUCAGAUUUUUUGAAAUAUUUUCAAAAUCUGUGACCAUUUUUCAAUUCAUAUUUUUUGUGAAUCUGUAACUUUUUUAAAACACGGGAACAUUUUUCAACUUGGGAACAAUUUUUGAAAUGUGGGCCCUCCUAUUCUCCUCGGAUUUGAUAUCAAUAUGGGGUUUCCGGACAGCCCAGACGUAUAUAGAUGAUAUGAGGAGUCUAAUUAAGUAAAAAAAUUCUAUCUCUCUCAUAUCUGGCCACUACCGAGCGCGUCUGCGGAUGUUUGAGGAGGCCAGCUGUAGAUGCUCGUGGCCACCGGUUUUAGGAAGGUUCUGUACCUUCCUUGAAUUUGUUUUUUCGUUUAUUUAUUCCAGUCAUCUUCUUUUUCCAUUUUUUAUUUUGUGAUUUUUUUGUAAUUCAGACUUUUUUUAAAUGUGCCAACAAUUCUCAAAUUUGUGAAUAUUAAUUUCAUUUUGGAAUAUUUUUUAAAAUCAGAGAAUGUUUUCAAAUUCAUGAUAUUUUUUGAAAAUUGGGAACAUAUUCAGAUUUUUCAACAUUUUCAAAAUCUGUGAACAUUUUUCAAUUCAUAUUUUUUGUGAAUAUGUAACAUUUUUUAAAAUACGGGAACAAUUUUCAAAAUCAUGAGUUUUUUAGACCAGGAACAAUCUUCAAAUUCCUAUUUUUGGAAAAUCCAAUUACAUUUUUCAAAUUCAUGAUUUUCUUAAUUCAAGACAUCUUCUGAAAUCCCAAUGAUUAGACCAAAGCCAACUCUAGUAGUAACUAAUGUAAAAAAUAAAAAAAUGCCAAUUUAAAUAUGGAUGCAACUAAACUCAAAGAUAUAUAAAACUAACACAUACGUCAAUUCACUUCCGAGUUACCUCCGAGGUAGCACUUUCUUUAUCGCCAUGUAGCUAGGCUUCGAUGCUCCAUUAAUUCGUCCACCCAUAUAUGAUAUAUCCCAAGAGAUAUCGACCCAAAGUGUAGUUCUUACUGCUGGUCGAGGUUCAGAGCACCUCAUAGCAAAGUUUAGUCAGAGACGUACUCGCUUCCGGUGCAUCCACAUCAUAUAAGUAAAUAGGUUCUUGCUCUCAAGCGAGAAAUGAUGCAUCAAGAACUUCAGGAGAAGGUCGCGUCCUUGAGUGUGCGUAACUUGCCAGUGCUGGUGGGUGGCGAUUUCAACUUAAUCCGAUCGGGAGCGGGUAAGAACAAUGGAAUCAUUAUCUGAACAAGGGUGUCCUUGUUUAAUAAUGCGAUAGCAUCUAUGGCCCUUAGGGAAGUGGCUCGCGUGGGCGCAUGCUACACCUGGACCAACAACAACAAGCAGCUAACGCCGGUGCGGUCUGUGCUAGAUCGGGUUUUCAUGUUCGCGGAGUGGGAAAUGUUAUUCCCCAUGUGCUCCCUCCACGCUGAAACAAGGAUUGGUUCGGAUCACAUCCCCUUAAUCCUGUCCUCAGGGGAGGAUAGGUUAAAGAGUAGUCCUCGUUUUUACUUUGAAACUACGUGGUUCGAGGUCCCGGAUUUUGAGCAAAUCUUCCUCUCCAAAUGGGAGACAUGCGUGGCCCGGAUCAGGCAAACGCGCGGGCCAAUGGAGUUUUGGAUUGCCGCAGGGGCGGGAAUGCGUGCGGCUCCCAAAGGUUGGGGGGCCAACCAGGGCCGCGAGGAUAAGCUGCUCCGAAUGCGUCUGACCGCAGACCUCGCCCGUAUGGACGUGGUUGCGGAUGCGCAGGGUUUCUCGGAACAAGACUGGGCCCAGCGCUAUGCGGUUGAAGCCCAAGUUGAGUCCCUCCUUAGGGCAGAGGAGGAGUACUGGCGUAGAUGUGGUGGCAUCAAGUGGGCGCUCAAGGGAGAAGCGAACACUAAGUAUUUCCAUGUGCACGCUAAUGGUAGACGCCGUAAGUGCGCCAUCCUGCGUCUGCAAUCCGAGCAGGGGCUCCUUUUGCGCCAACAGGAUAUCGUCCAUCACAUUUAUGAUUUCUACAUCCAACUGAUGGGCUCCAGGGAGGAGUCCCGUGCUUGGCUGCGGGCGGAUGUUUGGCAUCCUGCGUUGCGGGUCACGGACGAGGAGAAUGAGGGCUUGGGGCCGGCCUUCCUCCCCCACGAGAUUGAUGUGGCGGCUCUUGGGAUAAAAUCGGACACCGCACCGGGUCCGAAUGGGUGGCCGGUGGCGAUGUUUAAACGAUUUUGGCAAGUGCUUAAAGGGCCAAUUUUGACGUUCUUAAUGGGUUCAUGCGUGGUAGUGUAGAUAUCUCUCGCUUGAACUUUGGGGUUCUAUCUCUGAUCCCCAAAGUACAGGGAGCGGACUGUAUUAGACUUUUUCGACCGACAACACUCAUUAACGUCCCGUUUAAAAUCUGCUCUAAGGCUUGUUCCACGCGCUUGUCUCUAAUAGCUCACCGUAUUAUUAGUAGGAACCAAUCAGCUUUUAUUCGUGGUCGCAACAUUUUGGAGGGGCCGUUGGCCCUUCAAGAGAUCAUUCACUCGCUCAAACGCACUCGACAGCCUGCCAUUCUUUUGAAAUUGGAUUUUGAGAAGGCGUACGACCGAGUGAACUGGGAGUUUCUUCGACAAGUCCUCCUGGACAGAGCAUUUUUGUCGGUUUGGGUUCACCACAUGAUGCAAUUGGUCUCGGGCUAAACGGAGAUUGCGGUGAAUGGAGAAGUAGGGAACUUCUUCUGCAACAAGCGUGGGCUGCGUCAAGGGGACCCGGCCUCGCCGUUGCUCUUUAACUUUGUGGCAGACGCCCUGGGCGCCAUGCUAGACAAAGCUCGUAUUGCGGGCCACAUCAGGGGAGUGGUCGGCAAUUUGAUCCCAGCUAGGCAUGUCACACCUUCAGUACGCUGAUGACACUCUUCUCCUUUUCGAGCCGGACCUACACAGUAUCGCAACGGUCAAGGCCAUUCUUCUUUGCUUUGAGCUUAUGGCUGGGCUAAAAAUAAACUUUCACAAAUGUGAAGUGGUGUCCAUAGGGAUGGAUGCGGCUGAAAGCCUGCGGGUAGCCAAUUUGCUUAAUUGCAAACUGGGAAAACUACCUUUCACCUACCUCGGCCUCCCGAUCGCAGAGAAAAAAUGCUCGAUUGCCGAUUGGGAACCUCUUAGCACUAAGGUGGCACACAGGGUUUGCCCGUGGAGAGGUCAUUUUAUGUCUUCGGGGGCUAGACUUAUCUUAACUAAUUCCAGCCUCUCGUCCCUGCCUAUGUUUGCCAUGGGUCUGUUCUUGCUGGCUGACGGGGUCCACACCAAAAUGGACACUCCGCGGGCCUAUUUCUUUUGGGAAGGAGCGGGACCGAAGCGUAAAUAUCAUAUGGUUAAAUGGCAGGCCGUUUGUAGACCUAAAGCCCGGGGGGCCUCAGGAUCAUCAACUCUAAGUUGAUGAAUAUUGCACUCAUGUGCAAGUGGAUCUGGAAGCUGUCUCAGGGAGAGACCGGCCUCUGGAUGGACCUCCUACGUGCCAAAUACUUCCGUGAGGGGAAUUUCUUUGAGGCAGCAUCCCAUGGAUCUCCUUUCUGGAACUCCAUCCAAUCCCUAAAACCGUUCUUCGCCAGGGGCGCGAGGUUUUAGGUUAAUAAUGGACGCUCCACGCGUUUCUGGCACGACACUUGGAUAGGCCAACAACCUCUUUGGUCGGAGUUCCGCCAACUAUACUCCAUCACUGUCCAGCCCAACCAAUUGGUUGCUUCGGCUCUAAGCUCCUGCCCGCCCCCUAUCCACUUUAGAAGGGAGCUCUCGGGGCCUGAGAGGGAGGAUUGGGAUCGCCUUCGGGCUAAGAUAGCGGACGUGCGCUUAUCAAACAACACGGAUACGGUGUCCUGGAGGCUUUCGGGCUCUGGCAAAUUUACUGUCAAUUCCCUAUAUAGAGAGCUGUCCCGAGGCCACGUCCCUAUGGCUGCCUCGGGGCUUUGGAAGGCUCGAAUUCCUCUCAAUAUCAAGGUUUUCCUCUGGCAACUUUGUCAAGACCGCCUCCCUACUUCAAUAAAUAUAGCCAAACGCAAUGGCCCGGCCUCCGGGCCUUGUGCUUUGUGUGGUGUCCUGGAAGAUGCUGACCACGUGUUCUUCUGGUGCUCUUUGGCGCGCUUUGCCUGGAGCGCGGUCCGCAAGGCCGUGGGUGUGGAUUGGGAUCCACGCUCCCGCCCCAAGCUCGUGUCGUCUUUGUCCUUGGUCCAGGGUUCUUCGCGCCGUGUUAUGUGGACAAGUGCGGCGGCCAUGUUGUGGGCUUUGUGGCAUAUUCGUAACAAGUUUACAUUGAGGGUGUGUUCCCCUCUCACCCCGCUGACGUAAUCUACAAAUGCAUCUUGUUCUUGCAGCAAUGGGCCCCGCUGGGAAGACAACAAGACUCUGAUCUGCAUCUCCUUGCUCUUGCAUGCCUUCGCUCUGUCUACUCCGCGCCGCGAGCCCCGUCGCCUCCUUCCGCUGCCUCAUAGGGAUGGGUAGCCCCUUUUGGAAGUGUUUCCUCCGAGCCUGUGUGCUCCUAUGUUGGCUGGACACGCCAUGUAAUGCACUUUAUUCCUUCGCCGUUUCCUCUUGUGGUGUGUCUGAGACCCCGGAAGACUAGUUUGUUUGUGUUUGUUGGUCGUUUGGUUGUGCACGCCGCCUAUGUUGAGGGCUUUAUUAAUUUAAAACCGGACGUCCCUGACGUCUAUGUUUUAAAAAAACGAUGCACCAAGCAUCGUGGGCAUGUCUCCUCAUAUAUCUGCGACAAAAGGGUUAGAGAAAUGUGGCACAAGCCAAGAAAAAGAAAACCAAGCGAGUCAAGCGCAAAGCUGGAGAAAGUAUUGAUCAGCCGUCAGCGAGGAAGAUCUCUGCAUCAGAGAAUCUAUGUCGUGAUAUGAUUGUAGUUGGCACGAAGGAUGACCCUCUGGACUGGAGAAGUGUGCCCCUUAAACAAAUGUAGAGCAGAAGGCUCCUGAAGAAGUUGCUCAACCGGAGCAGUGUGCUCCAAAUGAGGAAGCUGUCGCUAGUGAUUCCCAGAAGAAAAAGCUCCUAAUAAGAAAGAUGCCUCGGCAAAACCUCGUUCUCCAUAAGAAAUCCCUGUGGAUGAAGCACUUGAGAAUGCAGGAGCACUUGAUUCUCCCUCUAGACAUGCUUUCAUUCCCUCUGUCAGUCCCUUUGUGGAUGUUGAAGAAGAAGAAGUGGAGCCUCAUACUCCGAAAGAGAAACAAGAUGAUGUUGUUCCAUCUCAGCCAAGUGCAUAGCCCAGAUAGUUGCAUAAAAGGCCCUAGUGCUUUCCCCCGAAGAUGAUGCUCAAACGAUUGCUACCGAAAAAUCCUCUAAGUCCGCAGUGGCUGCCUCGUUUGUAGUCAAUUCUCGAGGAGGAAGAAGCAGAAAUUGCUGCUAGCACUGAAGAGGAAGUUCUCCCACGCUAUCCCAAGCAGAAACUGCCGAAGUUUGAUUCUUGGAGAUCUCCUUGUACUUUAAUUCAACAUGCUGCAACACAAGGCAAAACUUACUUACUUCAGAGAAAGCCCAUAUGAUGGUUAUCGCACAUCUCAAUCUGCUUGGUUCUGGAGCAAUGACAUCUCUUGAUGGAUCCUGCUAUUGCUGGAGAUAUUGCCAAGCCAAUGCGAAAGUGAAUGACCUGGCGUAUAUCAACACAACUUUCUAUCCGAUAAUGAGCAAAACUCUCUAUCCCAAGACGGGAACUCACUCUGAGGACUUAAUCAAAGGGAUAGUUGAAGCUCUCUUUUCUGGUCCUUUAUUGAGUUUGACAACAUAUGUGCGUCUCUCCGCUGCUUGAAAGCACAUAGUGUUGGCGGCCCGGCGUUCAGGAAAUCCCUCUCAUAGCAUGGGAUGAUCUGGCGGCAAAAAAAUAUAAAAAGGGAUGAAACAACACAUGGAUGAGGACUAAAAAAACAUGGAACUAAAUGGGGAAAAUGAGAAUUCCCAUAGAUUGGAUGUUUUGAAUCCCUACACUAGAAAAUCACCAAAUGAUGUGCUGGUUGCAUCCUUGUUUGCGCAUGAGGUUUUGCAAACUGUGCGUGCCAUCUAUGCACUUUUUUUUAAAGUUAUAUAGUUCUUUUUUUUUAGAAAAGGAGGAAGACCACGCCUCUGCAUCUGGACGAUGCAUACAGCCAUUUUAUUAAUUAUUAACACACGUUACAAAGUCAUACAACAGUAAGACUAAAGCCACAGUCUAAUCAACAUUUGUCGCUACUCCUAUCCAGUUGAUGAAGGGGCGCUCAUAGUCUGGGCCUAAUAACAAACAGACCUUGCAGACAAAGCUAACAUCUAAGACCAGAGGUCCCAACCAGGACGCCUGCCGGGUUUGGGCACCCACCAGUCCGGCGUGCUCCUCAACCAGGACGCAUGUCGGGUAUGAGGCCGCUGCAACCACCCGCCACCAAUCCAUCUCCAGAGCUAUACUGCUGCAUCUACCUUGCCCGGUUUAGCUGCCACCACGAGCCAGACAACGUCACCCUCCUGCUCGAGUCCAUCUCCGCGCAUCGUGCGUCGAGUCUCCAUGCGCCAAGCCGCGGAGAUCCGCCGUCAUCAAUUGGCAAGAUAAAUCAUCGCUCCUCCUCUUGUCCCCUCCAACCAGCACUUGCUCCAAAACGAUGCCCCCAAGAGGGAGAACGACAUCGAAGGCGCCGUCAUCGUCCGAUCCGGUAGACCCAGAUCUAGGGUUUUCCCUGGAACUACCCGAUCAGGUGGACGUGACCUGCAACGACGAUGCCUCAAGAAGGCAACGACGUCCGAGACGCCGCCAUCGUCCGCAAAGACCGCAUUUAGGUGCGAUUUUCAUCGGAAGCCACGUCGUCCCAAUCUCGUGGCUGGCUGGAACCUAGCGGAACAUCGCCAUGAAGACAUAUGGUGCCAUCGGAAAGCCGGUUGAGGACCUCCGACUGCCCCACCCCGGCCCCAUCACGCGCCGCCGGCCGGCCAUAGCCGAACCACGACGGCUGGCCGGGACGCUAGAUCCAUGGCCACUGCCGCUGCCCCUCGCAUAGCGGAGAAUCCCAGCGGAGGACCUCGCCAGCCCUGGGUUCGCCGGCUGUCGCCGCACAGCCAGGACGCCGCCGUGGCUGCCGCGCAAAGACCCUGCACGAGGCGCCCCGGCCGCCUGAUAGGAGAUCCGUCGCUUCCCUCAUGCCCUAGCCCUUUAGGCGUCGGGCGCCGCCACCACCUCGGCCAGUGCCGGCGGCAGCGGCGGCAGAGAUCUACCUCUCGGGAAGGCUGCCGGCGCGAGGACUUAGGUCCCCCUGGCGUCGCCCUGGGUGGCGGCGCGAGGGGGUCGCGAGGAUAUGCCAAUUACAUUUAAAUGACUAAUAAUAACAGUUAAAACACACAUACACACACACAAAUU
rnacentral:lncRNA from 1 species